UACGAAGGGGGCUAGCGUUGCUCGGAAUCACUGGGCGUAAAGGGUGCGUAGGCGGGUCUUUAAGUCAGGGGUGAAAUCCCGGAGCUCAACUCCAGAACUGCCUUCGAUACUGGAGAGCUUGAGUCCGGGAGAGGUGAGUGGAACUGCGAGUGUAGAGGUGAAAUUCGUAGAUAUUCGCAAGAACACCAGUGGCGAAGGCGGCUCACUGGCCCGGUACUGACGCUGAGGUGCGAAAGCGUGGGAGCAAACAGG
rnacentral:rRNA from 1 species